rnacentral:rRNA from 1 species
AUACGGAGGAUGCGAGCGUUAUCCGGAUUUAUUGGGUUUAAAGGGUGCGUAGGCUGUGCGUUAAGUCAGGGGUGAAAUGCCGUCGCUCAACGACGGAGCUGCCCUUGAUACUGGCGUGCUGGAGUACGGAUGCCGUUGGAGGAAUGAGUGGUGUAGCGGUGAAAUGCUUAGAUAUCACUCAGAACACCGAUUGCGAAGGCUUCUGACGAAUCCGUCGCUGACGCUGAGGCACGAAAGCGUGGGGAUAUAACAGGAUUAGAUACCCUGGUAUUCCACGCCGUAAACGAUGAUGACUAACCGUCGGCGAUAGACAGCCGGUGGCCAAGCGAAAGCGAUAAGUCAUCCACCUGGGGAGUACGUCGGCAACGAUGAAACUCAAAGGAAUUGACGGGG